rnacentral:lncRNA from 13 species
UUUGACCCUGUCCCAGUUUGUCCCAGUUCCCCGGUGUCACCCUGUCCCAGUUUGGCCCAGUUCCAGUUGGAUCCUGGCCCAGUUUGACCCAGUCCGGAUGGGCCCCGGUCUGUCCUGUCCCAGUUUGACCCAGUCCCAGGCUCCCAGUUUGGCCCAGUCCAGGUGUCCUCCUCUCCCAGUUUGUCCCAGUUUGUCCCAGUUCUGUUCUCUCCCAGUUUAUCCCAGUUCCCAGUUUGGCCCUGGCCCAGUUCAGCCCAGUUUGGCUCCGUCCCAGUUUGUCCCAGUUUGUCCCAGUUUGACCCUGUCCCAGUUUGGCCCAGUUGGUCCCAGUCCCCAAUUUCCCCCUCUCCCAGUCCCGCUGUCCCCCAGUCCCAGUUGGUCCCAGUUCAUCCCAGUUGGUCCCAGUCUCUGGUUUCCCCCUCUCCCAGUUCAUCCCAGUUCCUCCCAGUUAAUCUCAGUUCAUCCCAGUUUAUCCCAGUUUGUCCCAGUCCCGCUGUUCCCCUCUCCCCAGUUGGUCCCAGUUCAUCCCAGUUCAUCCCAGUUUGUCCCAGUUCAUCCCAAUUUGUCCCAGUCUCCGGUUUCCCCCUCUCCCAGUUCAUCCCAGUUUAUCCCAGUUCAUCCCAGUUUGUCCCAGUCUCUCCCUGGUUCCGGUUCCCACGGGGAGGGGGCGGGGCCAACUUCCGGUGGGCGGGGCCUGACCCCAAACUGGGACCCCAAACUGGGACUGGGAUCCCAAACUGGGACCCCAAACUGGGAACUCCAACCCCAAACUGGGAAUGCUGACCCCAAACUGGGAACCCAAACUGGGAACUGGGACCCCAAACUGGGACUGGGACCCCAAACUGGGAAUGCCGACCCCAUACUGGGAACCCAAACUGGGACUGGGACCCCAAACUGGGACUGGGAUCCCAAACUGGGAACCCAAGCUGGGAUCCCAACCCCAAACUGGGACUGGGACCACAAACUGGGAACCCAAACUGGGAUCCCAACCCCAAACUGGGACUGGGACCACAAACUGGGAACCCAAACUGGGAUCCCAACCCCAAACUGGGACCUCAAACUGGGACCCCGAACUGGGACUGGGACCCCAAACUGGGACCCCAAACUGGGAA